GUCGCACUGAUCCUGAACGGGGCUUGAAGUUUGCGGCAGUACCUCGUCGUUCCCACUAGGUGGCACUAUCACAAAGGACAACGGAGGGUCCUGAAACCCAGAGCUGCAAACUGGCAGGUGCCAGGAUGUUGUAAGGCCUGAUGGGUUUGGGACCAAUUCAUCAUGUGAGCCGUUGGCCCGUCUACCGUCACCACCUCUAUGUUUUUUGGAAGCUGACUGUACCUUGGUGCUGGGCUACUGAUUCACUCAGUGAUGUUAGCAGAAAGCUUUACUAGGCCAAGUUUAACUCCGUAUGUUUUAAGAAAUUCGUGUUCUUUGAGCCUGGGGGGAUGAGUGUGGGUGUGUGGGUGGGGCUGGUUUUUCUAAUGACCAGAGCAGCCUGAACAUUUAGCUGCAUACCAUCUUUGUGCCUAUGUCCACAAGCUGGAAGCAUAAAAUACUAGGGUAAGCCAGUCCUAGCAGAACAGGGUUGUAGUCGCAACUAUCUAGGAGAGUCAGAAGGCCAAGGCCUACCUGGAUAACUUAGUAAACUCCUUUCUCGGCCAAAUAACUAAUAAAUAAGGGCUGAGGGUGUGGUAGAAUGCUUGCUUAGCUAGUAGAAGCUCCAAAUUUGACACCCUCCCCCAUCAUCACACACAAAAAGAGUAAUUGUAAAAAGUCUAAUUUAUCAAGCAUUCCCCAAGCCAGGAAUACUAAGCAAAUAUUUCUAACCCUUAACACCAUUGCAAGGUGAGUGCUUUAACCUGUAUUUUACAGAUAAAGGUCAGGAUGUAUAGAUACUGAGCAGAACUUCUAAGUCUGUCUCCACGUCCUUUACCCUGUUCUGUCUGCUUGCCUGCUUCCUUUAUUGUUAUUGUCAGGGUCUUGCUAUAUAGUCCAGGCUGGCCUGAAUCUUAUUCUCUUGUCUUAGCUUCCCAGUGCUUAACUUAUAGGCACACAUGCACCACCUUGCUCAACUCCCCUAUUCUACUAGCCCCACACACUUCCUUUUAGAACUUUUCACAGAUCACAUGACCUUUAGCCCUUACCCAAGGAACUGGAACUUUAGGUCUUCCAUGUCCCCAACCCCAUAUACAAGUUUUAAAUGUAUACAUUUACUUAUUGUCCUGAAGAUUGAGCCCAGGGCCUCAUCCAUGCUAUGCUUUGUCAUUGAGAAACCCAGAAGUCAAGGUCAGUGGGGCAUGGUGCCUUCUAUUGCUACUUCACUCAGCAUCUCAGCUCUUUUGGUUGCUGCUAAGCUUCAUGUAAAAUCAUACCUAAGAUAAUUGGGCAUGAGUGUGGUUGCCAUCUGAACUGGAAAUGAAGUAGAUAUAUUUAUUUAGUGAAUGCAGAGGCAAGUGAUUAAAAACAACCUACCCUCAUGGAAUUCAUAUUAAGGAAAAUAGAAAUUAUAAAACCAGAAUCUACAAAACAAACUGCCUUGUUAAAUGUGGGAAAUGGACAAAUAUUUACUGAGCACCUACUGUGUAUGAUACACUGAAGAAACAGCAUUAAAUGAAACAGAUUCAGUCCUUAUUUUCUCAACUUGACAGGAAAUCAGACACUUGGGCCAGUCAGAUGCCACACAAGCCUAGUGUCUUGAGUUUAAUAAUGUUAGGUACCCAAAAAAGUAGAAGAGCAUAGACUCCACAAAGCUGUCCUCUGAUUUUCACACACCAUGCCAUGGCCUUUGCCCCUCCUAACAAUAAAUACAAACUAAGCAAAGCAGACAUUUAAUGCACAGAGACACACUCAGGCACUGACUUUUAGCUGUAGUAAGUGCCUCAGAGGGGAAGACUAGCCAUCUGGAAAGGAGUUCUGAAUGAAGGACACUCAUUUCUGAAGAGUGAGUAGCACGGGUGGAGCAAGAGCUGACAUGUCUCAAGUUACAGAGUGUGAGAACACCAGCAAAGGCUACAAACUCAAUUCAAAUUACAAUUAGAUUUAUUAAAACUGCAAGUGGGGUUUUAAAGCCACUUUAAAGCCACAUCAAAGGCAUGCUGCCAACAAGGGGUUAAGAGAAGGAUUUUUUUGAAGGUGGAGAUGACCAUUAUCUUGCUUCUGUGGAACUUGUAGCUGUGUAAGAAAGUUCUUAACUUCCCUCAGCUAUGUGAGGCACCGUCUCUUUCCCCUUAUUCACAGCUCUAAAGGGGAUACCUCUGAAAACAGUGAUAAGUGGGUUUACAGAAGCCAGGGCAAGCUGUUAAUCAUUUCACAGCAGUUACACCAUUCUGUGGAGGGUGGAGUUUGCUAGGAGUUCAUCUUUCAGAACUUUAGGGCAGAGCUCUGCCAGUGGGUAUCAAAGAAGUACCUGGUACAGAAUGCAGUUUCCUUAGCCAUCACAAUGGCACACAGGGUUUUAAGGAAAGAUUAUCAAACUGAAGGAACAGAAGAAUAAUUGGUCUAGAAUAGAGGAGAAUGAUGGAGGUAGGGCAGGCAAAGACCAGAUCUUGGAGCGUUUAGGGAUUUGAGCUUAUUGUAAGAACUGGGAAGAUUGAAAGGUCAACAGAGCCUUAAGCUGUGGAAGCAAAUAUCAGUAGCAGCACUAACAAAGCUGAGCUUUGUGGGAAACCAAGGUUUGGUUCUGAAGUGGAAGGAGGUUAGGAAGAAAGGCAUAAAUUCUAAGACAAAGGAGGGGAUCCAGCACUCAGGAUGCUGAGACAGGAAGAUCAUGAAUUUGAUGCCAGCCUAAGCUACACAGACCCUGUCUUAAAAAAAAAAUAAGGAAGAGAAAUCGGGAUUGUAGGGUUACCUCAAUGGCAGAGUAUAAACUGUUUUAAUUUUUUUCUAAUGUCUGCUUUUCUUACAAACAGUAACCAGUUGUUUUAACUUCUUAGCAGCCCUAUAGUCCCCGAGUGGUGCACUGUAAGAGCUGUCAAACUUCAGCCCUUCUUUCCAGCCCUCAGCUGCCGUGUCAUACCACCACAAGAGUUUUCAAAAUGGCCGCACCACAACACCUCACCUGCUGUCAUGAGCAUUACCACAGGAGCUGUCCACGGUGACAGUGCCUUCUUUCCUGCCUCAGCCUGUGGCCAUCAUAAAAUUAACAUUAAAGGAAGAAGUUACUGCAGGAGCUGUCCACAGUGGCACUGCCUCCUCGCUAACCUCCCCACCAAUCCCUGAUCUUCCCCAAGCGUAGGACUUGAAAUCCCACCAAUCCUCACAUUGGAAAUCUGCCCGAAAAGUUCUAGCCCCUGAGAAAUCCUAUAUAAGCCCUGCCCUUUGUUCAAUCUCUGCUGUCCAUUUCCAGAAGCCACCCCUGGAUUUGUCCUUCCUUCUCCUGGAUUCAUCUCUCCAAUCCCUUCAUGAGAUUUGCUGCCUGGUGUGACUCUUAUAAGCCAAGAAGCGAUGAAGAGAAGGGAAGAAUUAAAGCAGGGGAGGGGGCUCAGCUUCCUGAUCUCUUCAGCUCAGCUGGGAUACCCUCCCCUGGGAGCUGCAGUGUCUCUGCUGAGAAGGCUUCAGGAAUCUCAGAGCUGUGUGGCUCCUGGACUCCCAUGUCUCGGGAUGCCCUGCCCUUGAGACACUGCCCCACAUCAGCUGUGCAGUUCCUGGGCUUCAGAGCCCCAGUAGAUACCCUUCCACUGAGCAGAAAUUUAUAAGCCCUCGUCCUGGUUUAAUCACUCGGCCCCUUCAAAGGUUUCUCCCAGCCCUUCCUCCCUCAGUUCACCAACAGUAUGCUUAAAGAAUCCCUUCUCUCAGUUUUCUCAGUACUGGCAACUCCAAACUAUAGCAACUGUUCUAGCCUAUCUGCUCAGCUCAGCUUCUCCUGGCUCAGCUGUCACCAACUGUCUUCUCUUUUUACUCUGUUAGAAGAAUUCAUGUUCAACUCCCUUCUCUUUUCCCUCUGCUAGCCCUGUGCUUUCUCAGCCUCAGUUGGCUUUUUUUUUUUUUUAAAUCUCCUGUUCCCAGAAAUCCAAGAGGCAACCAACACUGAAGAUCACAGGGUCCGGCAGUUCUAACAGCUAAGAAUUCUUAAAAGGCCAGUUGACUAGCAACUAGGGAUCCUUUAAAGGCCCAGGCUCACAAGACAAAUCACACUACAACAGAGGGCUUGCUGAGCAUGUACAAUAAAUAAUACAGCCCAAGAAUGCUUACUCAGAUGAAAAGAGACUCGUGAAUUAACGAAUGAAGGAUGAUCACAAAGGUAUAACACACUUGGAUCCUCUUUGCAAAAUGUCUAAAAUGUACGUUUUAUGUGUAUAUUUGUGUGCCCAAAAUAUGACAGCUGAGCAGUGGUGGUACACACCUUUAAUCCCAGCAUUCAGGAAGCAGAGACAGGCAGAGCCAAGUUUGAGGCUAGGACUGUCUACAGAAUGAGUCCCAGAACAGCUAAAGCUGCACAGAGAAACUCUGUCUUGAAAAUAAAACAAUAACAAGCAAAACAGACAUGAAUGUUAUUUUAAAUAAGUGUUUUUAUUAAAAUGAUAAAAAUAUUUAUUUUUAAAAGUGUUAUUUUAAUAGUUUUAAAUACACAUACUGGGCUGAAGAGAUGGCUCAGUGGUUAAGAGCACUGACUGCUCUUCCGAAGGUCCUGAAUUCAAAUCCCAGCAACCACAUGGUGGCUCACAACCAUCUAUAAUUAGAUCUGAUGCCCUCUUCUAGAGUGUCUGAGGACAGCUACAGUGUACUUACAUAUAAUAAAUAAAUAAUGCUGAGAAUAAAAGUUAUUUAAAAAUACACGUACUAUAAAA
ensembl:lincRNA 4632404H12Rik RIKEN cDNA 4632404H12 gene